rnacentral:rRNA from 1 species
GAUGAACGCUAGCGAUAGGCUUAACACAUGCAAGUCGAGGGGCAGCACAAGGUAGCUUGCUAUCUGGGUGGCGACCGGCGCACGGGUGCGUAACGCGUAUGCAACUUGCCCUAUACAGGAGGAUAACCCGUCGAAAGACGGACUAAUACUGCGUAUGCUCACAACUUGGCAUCAAGUGGUGAGGAAAGAAAUUCGGUAUAGGAUAGGCAUGCGUCCCAUUAGCUUGUCGGUGAGGUAACGGCUCACCAAGGCAACGAUGGGUAGGGGAACUGAGAGGUUUAUCCCCCACACUGGUACUGAGACACGGACCAGACUCCUACGGGAGGCAGCAGUGAGGAAGAUUGGUCAAUGGGCGCGAGCCUGAACCAGCCAAGUCGCGUGAAGGAUGACUGUCUUAUGGAUUGUAAACUUCUUUUAUACGGGAAUAACAAGAGUCACGGGUGACUCCCUGCAUGUACCGUAUGAAUAAGCAUCGGCUAACUCCGUG